AAGAAAUUAGUUUAUGUGAAUUUUUAAUUGUAAAUUAAAAGGUUGUGUUUCUUG
rnacentral:tRNA from 1 species